rnacentral:rRNA from 1 species
UCCCCAGACUCCUACGGGAGGCAGCAGUGGGGGAUAUUGCACAAUGGGGGGAACCCUGAUGCAGCGACGCCGCGUGGGUGAAGGAGUAUUUCGGUAUGUAAAGCCCUAUCGGCAGGGAAGAAGGAGGACGGUACCUGACUAAGAAGCCCCGGCUAACUACGUGCCAGCAGCCGCGGUAAUACGUAGGGGGCAAGCGUUAUCCGGAUUUACUGGGUGUAAAGGGGGCGCAGACGGCAGCGCAAGCCAGGAGUGAAAGCCCGGGGCCCAACCCCGGGACUGCUUUUGGAACUACAUGGCUUGAUUGCAGGAGAGGCAAGUGGAAUUCCUAGUGUAGCGGUGAAAUGCGUAGAUAUUAGGAGGAACACCAGUGGCGAAGGCGGCUUGCUGGACUGUAAAUGACGCUGAGGCUCGAAAGCGUGGGGAGCAAACAGGAUUAGAUACCCCGGUAA